CAACAAAAUUAAAUGUAACCUAAUACAAGAAACACAUAGAAACGCUUUAGAAACAUCCUUUAGUUUAUCAUUUCAAACAAGUUAUUAUUAUUAUUAGUAGUAGUAUUCAUUCAUGGGUAGACCACAGAACUAGAAGUAAUGUUGGAAUGGGAGGAAUUGGUAAAGCCACUUUGGCAACAAAGCUAUGUUAGGAUGAUUGAACAAGUUAUGGGUAAAUUCAGGGAAAAAUUUUUGUCUCCUUUUCAUAAACGCAACAGUUGAAGAUUAUUGUAGAGAGACUAUUUGAACAUUGUGGAUAUCGAGUUCCUAUAUGUUUCCAAGUAAUGAAGAUGCAGUUAAUAGAUUUGGACUUUUUCUGAAGAAAAUUGAGGGAAGUACAAUAUUGAUGGCCAUUUGCAAAGGAGGUUGAGGAUUUGGCUUUGGCUUCUGAUGUUGUGAGGAGGUUAGAGUUUGAUUUUGGUGGUAGGUCUCGGUUGGGUGGUGACUUUAUUGGUGUUUUUAAUAUCCGAGAUGUAUGAGUUUUUUUUUUUUGUUUUUUUUGUUCCGCCUAUAUACGACAUCCUUAUUUGUUGUUUUCUUUGGGAUCAGAGUGCGCAAUGAGGAAUAUGUGGAAGCUUAAAUUA